UAUGUUGAUUAUUAGAGCUUU
rnacentral:piRNA from 1 species